rnacentral:rRNA from 1 species
CAAGUAGAACGCUGAAGGAGGAGCUUGCUUCUCUGGAUGAGUUGCGAACGGGUGAGUAACGCGUAGGUAACCUGCCUGGUAGCGGGGGAUAACUAUUGGAAACGAUAGCUAAUACCGCAUAAUAUUGAUUAUUGCAUGAUAGUCAAUUAAAAGGUGCAAUUGCAUCACUACCAGAUGGACCUGCGUUGUAUUAGCUAGUUGGUGAGGUAACGGCUCACCAAGGCAACGAUACAUAGCCGACCUGAGAGGGUGAUCGGCCACACUGGGACUGAGACACGGCCCAGACUCCUACGGGAGGCAGCAGUAGGGAAUCUUCGGCAAUGGACGGAAGUCUGACCGAGCAACGCCGCGUGAGUGAAGAAGGUUUUCGGAUCGUAAAGCCCUGUUGUAAGAGAAGAACGAGUGUGAGAGUGGAAAGUUCACACUGUGACGGUAUCUUACCAGAAAGGGACGGCUAACUACGUGCCAGCAGCCGCGGUAAUACGUAGGUCCCGAGCGUUGUCCGGAUUUAUUGGGCGUAAAGCGAGCGCAGGCGGUUAGAUAAGUCUGAAGUUAAAGGCUGUGGCUUAACCAUAGUACGCUUUGGAAACUGUUUAACUUGAGUGCAAGAGGGGAGAGUGGAAUUCCAUGUGUAGCGGUGAAAUGCGUAGAUAUAUGGAGGAACACCGGUGGCGAAAGCGGCU